AUUGAACGCUGGCGGCAGGCCUAACACAUGCAAGUCGAACGUGACGAUUGAAAGCUUGCUUUUAAAAGUCGAGUGGCAAACGGGUGAGUAACGCGUAGACAACCUGCCUUUGAGAUGGGGACAACAGUUCGAAAGGACUGCUAAUACCGAAUGUUGUAUAUUUUCCACAUGGAAGAUAUAUUAAAGAUGGCCUCUAUUUAUAAGCUAUCGCUCAAAGAUGGGUCUGCGUCUGAUUAGCUAGUUGGUGGGGUAACGGCCUACCAAGGCGACGAUCAGUAACCGGUCUGAAAGGAUGAACGGCCACAUUGGGACUGGGACACGGCCCAGACUCCUACGGGAGGCAGCAGUGGGGAAUCUUCCACAAUGGACGAAAGUCUGAUGGAGCAACGCCGCGUGAGUGAAGAAGGGUUUCGGCUCGUAAAGCUCUGUUGUCGGGGACGAAUGUGCAGUAUUUGAAUAAAGUAAUGCAAUGACGGUACCUGACGAGGAAGCCACGGCUAACUACGUGCCAGCAGCCGCCGUAA
rnacentral:rRNA from 1 species